UUACUAGAUGUAUUAUAUAUAUUCGGUCACGAAACGUAGUGAGUUAAAUAUAAUUAGUGAUAGCUAUUACUUGUUACGUAGUAUAGUAACAUGAUAGUUUUAUUUUGCAGUGAUAGGCCUGCCAAGCUACUUGAUAUCUUGUUGUGUAAGAAAUAUAUUUAGUAUUAAGACAUACUAUUAAAGUUAAGCUUUGUAGUUUAUAUAAAUGGUAAAAAUUACUUGAAGUUAUAGUUUAAUCAUUAAACUGCUAUUAAUUUAAACAUAAAUAAUGUGUAUUUAUAUUUACUAUUACACUAUACCAUUUUUACUUAUAGUAUAAAUAAUGUAAGUAUGAGUAAUAAAUUAAAUAUAACAAAGGAACUCGGCAAAGUGUUGCUCAACUGUUUACCAAAAACGUAACUAUAUGUAAUAAUAUAUAGCUUUUCUGCUCAAUGGUAAGCUAAAUAGCCGCAGUACUCUGACUGUGCAAAGGUAGCAUAAUCAAUUGGCUUUUAAUUAAAGUCUGGGAUGAAUGAAAGCAUGGGUAACGACUGUCUUACUGUUAUACUAUAUUGAAGUUAGUAGGUAAGUGAAAAUACUUACAAUCUAAAAUAGACGAGAAGACCCUAGAAACUUGUAUAAUUAUUUUGUUGGGGCGACAGAAUUACAAAAAACUAAUUUUAUCAUACAUGACGUUAACAGAUAGCUUAAGUUACUCUAGGGAUAACAGCAUAAUUUUUUAUAGUUUGUGACCUCGAUGUUGGACUAGGUAAAUAAUUUUUUAGAAGGAAAUUUAAAUGCUCUGUUCGAGCAAGGGAACCUACAUGAUCUGAGUU
rnacentral:rRNA from 1 species